ACUGAGGUCUGAACCACCACAGGACAUGAACGCAGGGGAGCGACUGAGGAGCGUGGAGGUCAGUUCCUCUGGGGUGUGGAGGACGUGACGGCGUUUACUUGAGGUAAACCUCGCAAGGGGGAGAAGUUUGCUCAAAAAGUCUUUAAAUAACAAAUGAGGGAGAUUCUAUUUUAUUCCAUAAGCAAUGGAUAGGCAGCCAAGUUUUCUUGAGAAAAAAUAGACACAAUUUGAGCAAUUCUAGCAUAUGGUUAGAAAUUUAUGUCUGGCACAAAA
rnacentral:lncRNA from 1 species